AACGAACGCUGGCGGCAUGACUAACACAUGCAAGUCGAACGAGACCUUCGGGUCUAGUGGCGCACGGGUGCGUAACGCGUGGGAACCUGCCCUUAGGUUCGGAAUAACUCCCCGAAAGGGGUGCUAAUACCGGAUAAUGUCUUCGGACCAAAGAUUUAUCGCCUUUGGAUGGGCCCGCGUUGGAUUAGCUAGUUGGUAGGGUAAAAGCCUACCAAGGCGACGAUCCAUAGCUGGUCUGAGAGGAUGAUCAGCCACACUGGGACUGAGACACGGCCCAGACUCCUACGGGAGGCAGCAGUGGGGAAUAUUGGACAAUGGGCGAAAGCCUGAUCCGGCAAUGCCGCGUGAGUGAUGAAGGCCUUAGGGUUGUAAAGCUCUUUUACCCGGGAUGAUAAUGACAGUACCGGGAGAAUAAGCUCCGGCUAACUCCGUG
rnacentral:rRNA from 1 species